GAGCCCCAGCUCUCCCAGGAAUUGUUGCUUUGACUUUUGGGCCAAACGACCACUUCCUAUUAAGAGCAUAACCUCUUACUACAGGACUGACUCUGAAUGCAACCUGGAGGCUGUCGUGUAUGUUAUGAGUAUGGCAAGCAGAUCUGCGUGAAUCCAGCUGUGACUUGGGUGCAAAGGGCAAUGUCCAUUGUGCAAGAAAAGAAGUAGGAAAAAUUGCGGAGAAACAGGUCACCCUCGCUCAGCCACAAAAUAAGAUGCCAAGAAACAAGCACCUGUUCCCUGAUUCUUCUUCUACUGUGUCUCCUUGCAUUGCGUGCCUCUCACCACUAGGCAGUCAACAAGCUCCAAACUCCACAUUUCAAGAGCAUUGAAGACAAUUUAAUUGUUGUUUUCCUGCCCUUCCUCAAAGUACUCUAGCAAUUGUGAUAUGCCAACAUAUGCCCACCAUCCCAAGGGACACUUGAAGGAUGCUCAUAGCCAAUCCCAGUGUGGCUUACACAAGGCUUGGAUGAUGCACCAUGACUUCCAUUAUGAUGCGCCUCUUGUUCUGUGGCAGUUAAGGUUUCAGCAGGGAGUGGCAGUUAGCAGCUGAGCAAGAAGGACCAUGAAUGGGACAGCCAAUGCAAUGAAACUUGAUUUUCUUGCUGGUCUGCCUAACAUAAGAGAUGACUCCAAGUGAAAGCUGGAGAGACCCUUCCCACUUUAUGGUCAAUAGAUAUGAAGAGCUGAAGUUAUGUUCCUUCAGAGGCAUCAGUUGGGUUGGCUUCGUGACCAUGGAGGGAAUUUAGCUCCCAGAAACAUGAGUUUUCCUUAAUCCCAAAGAUGACAGCUUUCCAGGCGGACUCAGUUCUCCAGACUUGGAUGACAACAGAAGGACUGAAGCUCCACUAUACAGGAAAGCUGAGUAUAUGUGGGCACAGCAUCCCAUCAUGCACAAAAGGGGUUUCUGCAGAUAAAUGAGGAGAGGUCAUCAAGAAAGCCCAUUAAUUCAUACAAACAUCUCAGGAGACGUUCUUCAAAGAAACUAUCAGAAGGUAAGUGAUGUACAAGAAUGAAAGCUGUGACUCCAAAACAUUUAAGAAUAACUGAGAACAUAACAGAAUUUAAACUUCAAGGAAACUGUCACAAAGUGAGUGAUGUCCAGAAAUGAACCCUGUGGAUGCAGAAAAAGGCUUAUUGUUUGAGCCUUAAGGUAAGAAGGAAUAAGUUUGGCCUGAACAAGAGUUGGCAGGUAGGUGGUCUGUGGUCCUUGCUGACAUGCCCAGGGUAGCACUGGCCGCCACUUUUGGGGUCGGGAAGGAAUUUUCCUCCAGGGCAGAUUGGCCAGAGAUCCUGGAGGUUUUUCGCCUUCCUCUGGGCAUCCAGCAGCGUCCGCCUGUUAAGAUGUUUGAAAAAUUAAUAUUUUUUUUACUGUUGUUAACUUCCUUCAAACUGACUUUGACUCAUGGUAAUCCCAUGGGUGAAACACUCUCUAAGCCCCUCCAUCCUCAACCAUUCUGCAUACCUUUUCAUGCUUUGAGCUAUAGCCUCCUUAACUGAGUUUAUCCAUCUGGUAUGUGGUCCACCUCUUUUUUUCCUAUCCUCUACCAUUCCAAGCAUUAUUGUCUUCUCUAGUGAGUUGUGCCUUUUCAUAAUGUGACUAAAAUAUGACAGCCUUAGUUUGUCCAUCCUGGCUUCUAGGGAGAGUUCAUACUUUAUAUAUUUCCAUAUCCAUGUCUUCCUGACCAUCCAUGGUGUCCACAGCAUUUUUCUCCAGAACAACAUCUCAAAUGAGCUGAUUUUCUUUCUUUCAGCUCUCCUCAUUCUCCAUCUCCCACCUCCAUAGAUGCUGAUGGGAAAUACAAUGCUAUGGAUGAUGCUUUCUUUAGUGUUCAGUGUUAUAGCUUUGAAUUUUAUGAUUUUAUCUGAUUCUUUCAUAGCUGCCCUUCCCAAUCCUAGUCAUCUUCUGAUUCCUUGAAUGCAAUCUCCGUUCUGAUUGUUGAUGGAUCCAGGAUAUGAGAAGUCUUUGCCUGUUCUAAUGUCAUCAUUUUCUAGACUGAAUUUAUGCAAGACCCCUGUGAUCCUUGAUGUUGUAAAAUCCUGCCAAGAUGAAGUUGGCAGAGAACGACAAGCCUCUGAAAGAAAAUUAAUAAAAUAUAUUCAUAGGGAAUUUUUGAAAUAUGAAGCCCACUUUUGAAAGAAGAAAUGCUACAAGGUCUUCAGAGAUCCACAUUAGAAAACUUUUACCAUUUGGAAAUGGGGGAUAGCAAGAUGUCGAAUAUUGCUCGCUGCAAAAUUAUACUCCAGUAAGAGAGUAUUUGCUGAUCCAUUUUUUAAAAAUAUAAUUAGCAGCGCUGUUUAUGAAAUUUAAAAUAAAAUUUAGAAGAAACAUCAUGCUGUCCAGACAGCAUGACUUUUCUUUGAUAAUGACGAUGGAGCCUGGAGGAUGUCAGCAUGUCUUCUACAUGGAGAGAUGGAAGGAGGGAGCUUCACCAUUUGCUUACAUAAGGAAGGCUCUUGUCGACAUGCCCAGGGUAGCACUGGCCGCCACUUUUGGGGUCGGGAAGGAAUUUUCCUCCAGGGAAGAUUGGCUGGAGAUCCUGGAGGUUUUUCGCCUUCCCCUGGGCAUCCGGCAGGGGUCACAUGUUAGGCUGUUUGAGAGAUUUAUAGUCAUCAAGUUAAACUUAUAAUUUUAAAACUUGCCAAACUGAAUCUGGCAAAUAGACAUAACAACCAUAAUGCAAAAUUAAUAAAAAUCAGAACCUUGGAAGUA